CAAGCCUCGUGCAUCCGAGGUCCCUGUCCACGCCCGGCCCCUGACAGGUAAACAAAGGGCCAGGCCCAGGAGGGGCAUGGCUGGUGCCAGCUCAGGAGGAAAGG